rnacentral:lncRNA from 1 species
GCUCGUUACAUCUUCAGGAUUAGGAUAUUCAUUUGGACCGAAGCUUUACGGAGACUCCAUAUGAGAGUUAUUCCCCCUUUUCCCUUAAAUUAAGUGAUAUGCAUUUCUAAAUGGUAAACCAUAAGUGAUAAAGACAUAGGGUCUUUAGAUUUGGGGUCCUUGGUCGAAAAUAAUAAAAAUGAGGUCAAGGUCAAAGGUCAAGGUCAUAUUCUAAAUUUUGAUUUUGGCUUAUUUUCAUUUAUUUUCAAAUACCUUAUGACAUAUCGACAAAUAAUUUUUCAUAAAUUUUUAGUUGCCACAUGUCCUUACUUGUAUAUUUUGGUUAAAAGGAUGCGCAUACAAGAAAUGGGAGUUUUUGUCCAUCUUACAUUUAGAAUUAUGCGUAAAGUGGUAUUACUCAUUAACCAAACAUAUUAAAGACCUAGGGUCUUUUGAUUUAAGGUCCUUGGUUUGUGACCUUGAAAUUGAGGUCAAGGUCAUAGGUUAAUACGACGUUCUAGAUUUUUGACCUUUGCUUUAAAUUCAUAUAAAUACAUCAUAAAGCUAUAGGAACUAACAUUUUAAACUGAUUUUUCAUAUUUCAAUAUCAAAAUAGAUCUUUACUAGUGGAAAGACCUACAAUUGUUCUCUGAACAAUUGGUUUUUAAUUCUUAUUAUUUUUUUUAUUUUUUUUCUUCCGCCUAAUUUUUUUUCUUGCGUAUUAUUGAUGUUUCAAAAGAUGUCGCUUAGAUAUUUGGAAUAUGGUAUCGUAUAGUUUAUACGCUUUAAAACUUUACAACUGUGUAGCAAAAUACUUUACGUUGUAAGAGUUAUCUCCCCAAACACUGUUUUUCUUGUGGCCACUACUCCUUCGCAACCGUUAAAGAUUACGACAAAUUUAUUUUACCAAAUUGCUUGUUACAUCUUCAGGAUUAGGAUAUUCAUUUGGACCGAAGCUUUACGGAGACUCCAUAUGAGAGUUAUUCCCCCUUUUCCAUUUAAUUAAGUGAUAUGCAUUUCUAAAUGGUAAACCAUAAGUGAUAAAGACAUAGGGCUUUAGAUUUGGGGUCCUUGGUCGAUAAUGAUAAAAAUGAGGUCAAGGUCAAAGGUCAAGGUCAUAUUCUAAAUUUUGAUUUUUGGCUUAUUUUCAUUUAUUUUCAAAUACCUUAUGACAUAUCGACAAAUAAUUUUUCAUAAAUUGUUAGUUGCGACAUGUCCUUACUUGUAUAUUUUGAUUGAAAGGGUGCGCAGACAAUAAAUGGGAGUUUUUGCCCAUCUUACAUUUAGAAUUACGCGUAAAGUGAUAUUACUAAUAAACCAAACAUAUUAAAGACCUUGGGUCUUUUGAUUUAAGGUCCUUGGUUUGUGAACUUGAAAUUGAGGUCAAGGUCAUAGGUUGAUAUGACGUUCUAGAUUUUGACCUUUGCUUUAAAUUCAUAUAAAUACAUCAUAAAGCCAUAGGAACUAACAUUUUAAACUGAUUUUUAAUAUUUCAAUAUCAAAAUAGAUCUUUACUAGUGGAAAGACCUACAAUUGUUCA